AAUUAACACAUAAGGAAAAGUGGAUGAGGAUCAAUUAAACUGAUAAAGCAAGAGUGGAGACUUCAUUUUAUCACCAACCACCCUGUGUGUGUGAAAGAAGCCAAGGCAGAAAUAGAAAGCACAGCUCUGCCAGUAGCCAGUAUCCACAAUAGGGGCAGACUUCAGUCAGCAAGAUAAUCAUGACAGUCGGUGAUCUUAAGACCUGAUGAUUUAUCUCCUGGAAGCAUCAGUGAGCAAAUCUGCGUAUUACUUAGUAAGCCUCGCCUUCAGAGACAGCGGUACCUGUUUAUAUAAUGAAAUUAAUUAAUCCUGUAGCCCCUGUAUAAACUGUCUUUACUUGAAAGUAGCAAGACGAACAGAAAGCACACGGUUGCGCACUUACCCUGUUGUGCUUACCUUCAAUAAUUAUGGAUUCUUAAAGUAAGCUUCAGCAAAGACCAGAAACACACACUAGCGAUGAGUGAAUGCAACAGUUGUGUGUUCCUCUUAAGUCAGUACAAAGAAUAACCAUUCUGCUAUUACAUGAACAGAGUGCAACCACAAGUACAAUAAAUAGCACCACAGAAGAGAUGCUCUGCUUUGUGUAGCGUACUGGCAGUGGCAGAGUUGGUGGUAGAGGUGUCCGUCAGUAGGCGCUGCAUCGUUUCACAAGAGUGAGGUGUCCCUGUAUGAUCCCCAGAUGUUGUGUUGUAUGAGGAAGACAGAUACAGAACUUGCCUGACUACCCAGAGAGAUGCAUAUUAGCAUAAGCCCCAAACAUGUUCAACCUGCCUUCUGACCUGGCAGUUGUGGGUGGCCACUCUGUGCUGUAACUAGGAUCAGCUGCCUCCUCUCCCUUCCUAACCUGGCUGUUUCUGUACUGGAUAGAUCCCAUGAAGCUCCUCUCAACCCAGUGCUAAGUAACAUAAAGAGCCGCUGCUCAGUGUAGCUUCCGCAUCUGUCUCUCCUGAAAUAGCCACUUCUGCGGUCGAUAGUCUUCCAUUACAGCCUACCUCGUGAAGAAGCGACUCUUGAGGCUAGUGCUGCAGCAGCAUAGCUGUUGAGUGUUCUGUUUGGCUUCAUUGCUGUAUACUUGUCCCUCUGAUACCAGUAAAACACUCUCAAAACUACUGCUUCUUCAUGAAUUCUGAAUAUCAAUGCUAAGCCUGGCUCCUCCUAUUCACAACCUUCUAAAUAGUGCCAUUCUUUUUCAAAUUAUACUCAUCAAAAUGAAUUUUAGAGCCAAGUAUGGAGUACUCAUGAGGCUGAGGAGCAAUUCGGGGCCCCAUAGCAAGACCUUGCCGCAAACAAAAUUUUCAAAAAUUUAAAUAAAUACAUUGCAUACAUAUAUACACAUAUGAACAUGCAAGUAUAAUAGAGAUAUGUACCUAUACAAAAAUAAAACGUCAUAAGUGACUUGAGUUCAGAGAAAAGCUGAUAUUUGGGCGAGUCUGCUUCACAUUGUACUAAGUAUACUUACAUGUUCCUCGGUGUGUGAAGAGUUACUGCAUGCAGUUUGCUUCUUACCCUGACUGUCCUUCUUGCUAGUCUGCACUGCUAGGUGCCAUACAUGUGUAUAUCUUGCAGUCCUGCCCACCUCGGCCCUCUGCCUCCUAAUUUCCUGUUUUAAUUUAUUGUGGCCUGGGAACAGAAUUAAUAAACUCAUUAGCAGUGUUUGUGAAAUCACAGGCCAAUGAGUUCAGUAGAGUGACCUUUCUGAGGUGGUUCUAUGCACCACCACACUGCAUACUGUCUUUAGACUCCAUGCAGAGAUGGGUGGAAUAACUGUGCCGGGUAUCUUAAGGUAUUUUCGUUAUCUCCUUUUUGAAAAGAGCUACUGUUAUUUUAGGUAAAUGAGUACUUUUACCUAGAUACUAGAGUUAAGGUUAUAUUUGAGCAUCAAAUAUUUAUACUUAUUUUAACUGCUAAAUCUAAGGGAUAGUCUAUAGAAUAAAUAAUGUUUGUUUCUGUCAUUUUUCACCUCAGUAAGAUAGCUCUAUCUUUUUUUGUUGUAUUCUUUAAAACUUUGUCUGAAGUUGUCUGUCAUUACACCCCUAAGACCCUUUCUUUCUUUUUUUUCUUUAUCCUGAAAAGCAACUUAACUGUCAGGUUUUUUCCAAUUCUCAGACACCUGAGAAGAUCUUU
rnacentral:lncRNA from 1 species